UAAAUGAUGUCGUUAAUUUACUCCAAGUUUAUACUUACAACAAUCUAUUAACAAUAAAUAAGACUGCUUUAUACUUUUAGGUAGUUUAACGAAAGUUUGAACGACAAUAGUUGAUACCUGCGUCGUGUAUAUAAAAUUCGGUUUCGACCGAACUUAUCUUCACUUGUUGGUUGCAGUUUUAUAGCUUAUUAAAUUCUAGCACAAUAAGUUUGAACGAGUACUUUCAAUUCAUUCAUUUAAAAUUCUGGCUUGGAACCGAAAACAGCUAACAACAUAUAUAUUUAAGUACGGCAUUCUGAGAGUACAUUGAUCGACCAACAGCGGCCUGACCCUGUUUAGGUCGGCGAAUAUCUAAAACGUUGCUCGUCGAUGGGAAAAUAUCUCCUCCGCAUUCUUCCUCUCAGGGAUAGCAUAAUGUCAAACGCUGGAUUUGAAACCUUUAUCUGUUCCGCUUUGCCAGAUAUGAUUACACUCAAACUCGAUUUCAGUUAGGCGUUUUACCUGCAAAGGAUGAAGUCAUCUUAGAGCCUGCUCAAGCCUUAGAACUCACCGACAAUGGACCACGUUAUUUGUGACCUCGUGCUGUUCUAACCAAACAAAUAACAUGGCUGCCUCAGUGACGCACAACACACAUAACGCACCGGUCCCACCAAAUACCCAGACUGCCCCAAUGGACGACCGAAGGUCAACUGAGCGACGCAACCACAAGACGACCACCUUACAACAUAACACAACCACAAACCCACCUACACGCUGCGGCAACUCACGAUCGAGGACAAACGAACGGCGCCUAGUUUCUCAGACCUUCAGUUAGGUGUAUCGGCCCAGGAUAUACCGUAAUGCGAUAUCAGUCAGUUGCAAUUCCUGUUUUGGCUGGCGCCACUUGAGAAGGAACGAGCAACUUCCUUGUUACAGUGCUGCAUAAGCUCUUCUGCGGUGCAGCCUACUACCAACACAAGGCGUGCUGCCAACAGCAUCAUACGGAACAAAUGUCCGGCAGGCAACACCACACCUCACUAACACCCCAUAUUGCGAUCAGUGUCCCAAGGCAUAAGAAAAUAUUACAAUUCAACUGUAAUGGACUCCUGAACAAAAUCGAGGAGACAACCGUCUUCAUGGGUUGGCAUGGAAUACUGAUAGUUGCGGUCCAAGAGACGAAGCUGCAUAGGAAUUCCACAUGGUUCAACUGUGCCAGAUAUAACCUGCGCCAUAAACACUAAGAUAACUCGAGGUCUUAACCAGAACCACCCUUGUGAGGACAGUCUUGGUAGCAAUGGAUAUGUCAUAGACGUUUGACAGAGUGUACCUCUCCAUUCUACUAGAAUAGAGCAUGGCGUCCUCUCUCCCUGAGUGCUAGACAUUAGUCUACCAAGAAAAAUAUAACAGGGGUGUCCUUCGCCCGCCUUUAUUUAAUACAAUAUCUCGAAGAUCCCUCAACUACCAGAGGUAGUCUCCA